UACGGAGGGUGCAAGCGUUAUCCGGAUUCACUGGGUUUAAAGGGUGCGUAGGUGGAGUGGUAAGUCAGUGGUGAAAUCUCCAAGCUUAACUUGGAAACUGCCGUUGAUACUAUCAUUCUUGAAUAUCGUAGAGGUAAGCGGAAUAUGUCAUGUAGCGGUGAAAUGCUUAGAUAUGACAUAGAACACCGAUUGCGAAGGCAGCUUGCUGCGCGAUCAUUGACACUGAGGCACGAAAGCGUGGGGAUCAAACAGG
rnacentral:rRNA from 1 species